rnacentral:pre_miRNA from 1 species
UUUGUACUCCCUCCGUCCCAAAAUUCUUGUCUUAAAUUUGUCUAAAUACGGAUGUAUCUAGUUACAUUUUAGUAUUAGAUACAUACGUAUCUAAAAAAAUGUAAGACAAGAAUUUUGGGAUGGAGGGAAUACUAC